rnacentral:rRNA from 1 species
UAAGGAAUAUUGGUCAAUGGAGGCAACUCUGAACCAGCCAUGCCGCGUGCAGGAAGAAGGCCCUAUGGGUCGUAAACUGCUUUUGAACAAGAGAAAACCCCGGUACGUGUACUGGGUUGAUAGUAUUGUUAGAAUAAGCAUCGGCUAACUUCGUGCCAGCAGCCGCGGUAAGACGAAGGAUGCAAGCGUUAUCCGGAUUCAUUGGGUUUAAAGGGUGCGUAGGCGGACUGGUAAGUCAGUGGUGAAAUCUCUCGGCUUAACCGAGAAACUGCCAUUGAUACUGUUAGUCUAGAGUACAGAUGAUGUGGGCGGAAUAUGACAUGUAGUGGUGAAAUACUUAGAUAUGUCAUAGAACACCGAUUGCGAAGGCAGCUCACAAAACUGUAACUGACGCUGAGGCACGAAAGUGCGGGGAUCAAACAGGAUUAGAUACCCCCGUAGUCCCUGAGCGGGCUGGCAAGGCGCAU